rnacentral:rRNA from 1 species
AGUGAACGCUGGCGGCAGGCCUAACACAUGCAAGUCGAAUGGCAGCACAAGAGAGCUUGCUCUCUGGGUGGCGAGUGGCGGACGGGUGAGGAAUGCAUCGGAAUCUGCCCAUUUGUGGGGGAUAACCUCGGGAAACCGGGACUAAUACCGCAUACGACCUACGGGUGAAAGCAGGGGAUCUUCGGACCUUGCGCAGAUGGAUGAGCCGAUGCCGGAUUAGCUAGUUGGAGGGGUAAAGGCCCACCAAGGCGACGAUCCGUAGCUGGUCUGAGAGGAUGAUCAGCCACACUGGGACUGAGACACGGCCCAGACUCCUACGGGAGGCAGCAGUGGGGAAUAUUGGACAAUGGGCGCAAGCCUGAUCCAGCCAUGCCGCGUGUGUGAAGAAGGCCUUCGGGUUGUAAAGCACUUUUGUUGGGAAAGAAAAGCAGCCGGUUAAUACCCGGUUGUCAUGACGGUACCCAAAGAAUAAGCACCGGCUAACUUCGUG